GGGGUAAUACUUUAAGUAAGAAGAUUUGGCUUGCACCUAAACAGUAAUUAUAUUUUACCCUA
rnacentral:tRNA from 1 species